GCUGUGCCUGGUGUGGCUGAGGGAGAUGAGGUUCAUUUGGCCAGCAGUCACAAAAUAUCUCCUCAUGUUCCUCUGCAUUUGAAUGUUCUGUCUUUUCACAGAGGGUUCAGUUUGUCCCUCUUGUUCCUAACCCUGGUGUCACUGGCAUGCUUUUCAUCUGAAGGCAGAAAUUAGGCUCUCCUACAAGGAGAGGCAGCUACUCCAGGAGCUAAGGUCUGAGCUAUUUAUCGCGUCCAUAACCUUAAAGCUGAAAUGAUUCUGUGGUUCCAUACUGAGUGGUGUCUUUCUGAGGGACGAGGUGCUCAGCCAGCCGCGGAGGAUUGGUCCAGCAUCUCCUCUGGGGAUGUGUCUGCCAGGUAACACAGAAGCCCCAGGCUGUAUGACUGCUGGUUGUUUAGUCAGGAUACUCAGGGGGGACCUUGCUGAAAGGCGGCUGCAGCCAGGUGGGAGCUGGUCUCUUCUCCCAGGUACGUAAGUUCCAGGACAAUUUAAUGUCACCCACUUGUGUCCAUCCUUCAGCUGCCAGAAAGUCUCGAGACCUUCCAGUGUACUUGAGGCACAAUCCCCAGGCCCUCAGAAGUGCCUGUGAUGACUGACUGGUCUGUCGCCCUUCCUGUCAGGGCAGCUUUGCUGCCUGCUUCCCACGUGCGUGUGCUACUACCUGUGGAAGGACAAAAAUAUUCAUCAUCCAAAAAAAAAAAAAAGAAAAGGAGACAUGAUCAGAACUAGAGCCCCAGAUACUUGAGAUAGGAUGAGGGACUUAGCUUGCCCUUCUUUAGCAAAGAAAAUUUCUUCACUUUGGAAUCCCCUAGAAAGCCUGGAAACCUGGUCAGACCACAGCCUAUGAAGCAAUUCAUGUCUUGAAGUCUGCAGGAAGCCUGAAAAAGAGCUCUGAUGCAGAAAAUGGCUCUAUUCUCCAGCAGGGUGCUUGUUCUCCUCUCUUCUCCCACAUGUGGCCAUGGCUCCAGAACAGAGGGGGUUAUUUGCUGCUACUCCUUUCACACUCCCCCAGCUCCCCUGUGCUGGGAUUGUGACCUUUGGGGUGUAAGGGGGAUGUCAUGCUGUUUGAGGCUUCUAUCAGCCUUAAUCCAGACUAUUAUCUACUCUUGCCUGAAAAGAAUUAUCCCUUUCUGCUACUAGGAUAGCAUUUAUUUAUGAGUUUCCUGCCCCUUUGGUGCUGAGGAUUUAUUGCUGGUUUAAGUAGUCCAAAGACACCCCAAAAUAUGAAACCCUGGAGUGGAGAGCAGGGUUUUUAAAGUGUAUUGCAAACUGCACCCAGGAAGGACCUCUGAACCUGCGCAGUCCUUGCCCCUUUCAUGGAUUUCCUUAGGGCAUGCUUGCAAGGAUGAUUUGGGGGUACAAAUCCAGGAUUAGUCAAAAAGGCCAAGGGAAGCAGAAUGUGCAUAUGUGGCGUGUUCUUAGAUGGAUGCUACUUUAAAUGCAAAAUGCUUCUUCUAAGAUAAACCAAUGGAUUGCUUCCAGUUCUGAAUCCUUUCUGUGAUGAUUCAGCUAUUGGCAAAAUAAGCUGAAGAGUACGAUGUGGAAGCACUGUCAUGCCAUCUUCACGUGAUUGUUAUUUCAGGUAUUUCCUGUUCAGGGUGAAAAUAUUUUCCCCUUUAAAAAAAAACCCCAAAACUAAAAAAAAAAAAACUAAAAAACCCCACCCCAAAACAACAAACGACAGCAAGAAGAAAAGGGCACAAGUCCAUUUUCAUUGGUCUGCUGUAAUUAAUACAGUGAUUUAUCUCUGUAAAGCCUGCCAAUAAAUUAUUGAUUGCUAUCAACUUAUUUCUCAGGAGGAAAUCCUGGGAGAGGAAGUUUGCCAUGGACUCAUUAGAGCUCCCAGAAAUUAAUGUGGCUGCUGAUAUUUGCUGUCCUUAUGAUGGGAGAACAUUGCCUUCCCUUAUUCCACAUACCCUUUUGACUACUGAACACCAACCAUUUCCUUUUCACACCUUACUCUGACUGUGAUUUACCCUUGUCCCAAACAUUGCUUCCUGGGCAUCUGCAAGCUGCCACCCUGUGGUACUGGUCAUACUGGGGUUUUAGGUUAAAUCAGAGGACUCUCCUUUCCAAAUAGGAGUUUGAGAUUUCCACCUCUUCUCUCCUGAAAGGUCUUGAAGACAUGAAAACUUUCACUCUUAUCAGUGUAUGCUUCCCUACCCACAAAUGUGCUGCAGCACGUUUCAGGAUUUCCUUUCAGAGUUAGAAUCAUGAGCUCUGUACCCUCAAAAAUGAGGGAUUUUCCUUCUUCCAGGGAGAAAGUACACACGAGUCUUGGCUUGGACAUUGCAGCGCCUGCCUGAUGCUGUGAUAAUGGACUUUGAAAGUUUUGAUGCUGUUCAGUUCAAGGUGUUAUUUUAGGUCAUUUCAGAAGCUUUAGAGGCUCCCUGUAACGGCACAGCUGGACUCAUGAUAGCUGAAGCACAGACCUUGCAGGUGAAGGAAUAUGAAAAACAACAUUAAUAAAAUGAUAAUGUUUUAAAGGCUCUUUUCCCAAGUGUCUGAUUCUGGCUUAAGAAAAAGCUGUGGAAAAGAAAAAUUUGGUUUCUAGGCACUCCAAAGUGAGGCAAUGCCCGUAUAAUGGCUGGGUUGCUUCUGCCCUUAUGUCUGUGCAUUGCAACACAGUCUUCAGAUACAGUCCCAACAAUAUUUCAUAUAUGUGUGUUUAUAAACCUCUUCCACUGCCUUCUGACUUGUGUGCAACUUUGACCUGUAAUAUCUUUGGUGUGCCCACAAGAGAAAAUGAAAGCUAUGAAAUACUAAGGCAAGGGCUAUAAAAAGUGUUAUGUUAAAAGCAAGCAGGAGCUGUUAUUGUUUAAUCUCAACAUGGAUCUUCCAUGAAGCUGUGCAAGUCAUUCAA